AUACUUACCUGGCAGGGGAAAGACCAUGAUCACGAAGGUGGUUUUCCCAGGGCGAGGCUUAUCCAUUGCACUCCGGCUGCGCUGACCCCUGCGAUUUCCCCAAAUGCGGGAAACUCGACUGCAUAAUUUGUGGUAGUGGGGACUGCGUUCGCGCUUUCCCCU
rnacentral:snRNA from 1 species